rnacentral:lncRNA from 1 species
GCCUGAACCAGCCAUCUCCUGUAACCAGGCAAUGGUCUCAAGUGGAGGGAUUGGAACACCAACCCAGCCACGAAACCGUCAGACCUCCAGAUUGCCCUGCCCUGCAGAGGGUGCUGGGACCAGAGCCUAGCAGAACCAGAAUCUGGCAUGGAAAGAUACCAGAGAGGCUUCAUCCAGCAACUAAUGGGAGCAGACACAGAGUCCCAUAGGCAAACAUUAGGUGGAGCUCAGGAAAGUCGUGUGGAGGAGCUGGAGAAAGGAUUGGAGGAACCAGAGGGGUCAGAGAUGUACCAGGAGAGCAGGGUACACAGAGUCAAUGGACCGGGACUCAUGGGAACUUGCAGAGACCAGGGAGCCUGCCUGGGUCUGACCAAGGUCCUCUGCAUAUGUUAUGGGCGAUUCCACUAGGCUCCUCCCAGGAACCUAGGAAUGGCUUCCAUCAUCAUCUGCUGCCAUUACCUGCCACACAUGGCAUAUAAAAGGACUGCUCCCGACCCCAUGCUCCCUCUAUCCCCAGGUGAUCCCAGCUCCCCUCCCCCUCCCCCUUUCUCUUUCUCUCCUUUUCUGUUCUUCUCUGUCUCCUCCCUUCUCUGCCCUCAUGGCACCGCUCUAUCUGCCUCUACCCCUUCCUUCUCCAGGCCUUCGCUCCCUCUCUUCCCCCAAAU